rnacentral:misc_RNA from 1 species
GAUGAAGAACGUAGCGAAAUGCGAUAAGUAAUGUGAAUUGCAGAAUUCAGUGAAUCAUCGAAUCUUUGAACGCAUCUUGCGCUCCUUGGUAUUCUGAGGAGCAUGCCUGUUUGAGUGUCAUUAAAUUCUCAACUACACUGACUUUGAAUUGGUGUGGCUUGGAUUUGGGGGGAAAAUUGUUGUGGGCUUUUUGUAUAGUCUGCUCCCCUGAAAUUGAUUAGCGGUACCUUUGUGGAACUGUCUACAGGUGUGAUAAUUAUCUACAUCUUAGACAUCUGCUGGAAUGCUGCUCUCUAAACCUUACUUGUAUUGACAAUCUUGACCUCAAAUCAGGUAGGACUACCCGCUGAACUUAAGCAUCUCAAUAAGCGGAGGA